CCCCAAACAGGAAUGGGAAGACAGAUGGCUCCAUUUUCAGUCUUUCGAGAUUCAGUAUGCAGCUGACGUGGGCACACUUCCCUCACAAACAUGGGCCCUACUGCUAAGAUUCCGGACAUCAGCCUACAGCCAAUCAUGGCUGUACAGCCUUUGACCUCCACAGAUGACUCAAUGCCACCUAUGGAACAAGGAAGGAUGGGGAGAGACAGAUGUUUUAGGAAAUCAGACGAGAGUCCAGUCCUCCCUCAUCCCUGGAGAGCUCAGUGUCAGAAUCUCUUGGGAGCCACUCAAAUAUCUGGUUUUCCAGCCUCUGAAACUAUCACAUGUUCAUUUCAGUUUACCUCCAGUGAUCUCAAGUUUUCCUUGAUAGCAUCGAGUUGUACCAUUGGGACAGGGAAGAGAAGGAGCAUUGAAACAAGUCCCCAAAGCCACACAGGUUGGGCAAUGGAGGGUUGCUGACACAGUGGAAGCUGGAGGGAAACAAAAGAGAUGGUUAAGGGCAGGUCCUGUAUCCAGAGAUGUCGUUCGUUGCUGCCUUCUCUUCCCCAGGUUUUUCCUGCAGACGCCACUCUAAUCGAGGCCCUUUACUGCAGCCUCCCCAUCCUUCCCCAGCUGGUGUUCUCUGCUCUGAAAUCUCCAUCUGUCGGACUUCCAAACUCUGUGCUGAGGUGUGAAGAUACAGAGAUGAAAACAACAUAGUUCCUGUCAUCUAGCAUCUCUAAGAGAAAGACAUCUCUAGGUUCGCUGGGGAGAAAACGAGAAGAUAAGCACUCCUCCAUGGGCCAAGGCAGCUCCUUUUUCAUCAUCGAUCCACGACUUCUGUGACACGACUGCUCUCCCCGAUGUCCCGCAUACGCACAGGUCAGGAAGGAGGUUCCUAGGACCAGGAGGAUCAGCAAAUGCUGGAUACCAGGGGUUCCCAUGGCUUCUUCCGGAGAGGUUUGGGAAGAGCUGGUCGGAAUCUGUGAAUGUGAUGGAGAGAACGCAACUUGACAGCCAGAGCAUAAGCAAAAUUCCCGCCGGCUUCCAAACGACGCCCUCACAAGAACCUGACGACGCGGAAGGCGCGGACUGGAACGCCUCCUCCCCGGGCCGGGCCUUCUCUUACCACGGAAGGCGGGGCCAGCCUGGCCACACAGAACUCGAAACUCCAUUGGUGGAUGCCAAAGCACUGGUGGCCCCUGCGCAGCCCAGCGUUGUCCUCUGAUUGUACCAUUGCCCCAGCCUCCUCGUGAUCGGGCUGAAUCCAGGAAUGCCCGUUUCAGCAUCACUUCGGGCACCCUGAACGCAUGCAUGAGCAGUAGCUGUGAUGGGACAGGCUGCUGUCAGAUGGAACCCACGUGUCCGCGUCAGGACCAUGA